ACGUUAGCGGCGGACGGGUGAGUAACACGUGGGUAACCUACCUAUAAGACUGGGAUAACUCCGGGAAACCGGGGCUAAUACCGGAUAAUACAUGAAACCGCAUGGUUUCAUGAUGAAAGACGGUUUUGCUGUCACUUAUAGAUGGACCCGCGGCGUAUUAGCUAGUUGGUAAGGUAACGGCUUACCAAGGCAACGAUACGUAGCCGACCUGAGAGGGUGAUCGGCCACACUGGGACUGAGACACGGUCCAGACUCCUACGGGAGGCAGCAGCG
rnacentral:rRNA from 1 species